rnacentral:rRNA from 1 species
CCUACGGGAGGCAGCAGUGGGGGAUAUUGCACAAUGGGGGAAACCCUGAUGCAGCGACGCCGCGUGUGGGAAGACGGUCCUCUGGAUUGUAAACCACUGUCCCCAGGGACGAAGAUGACGGUACCUGGGGAGUAAGCUCCGGCUAACUACGUGCCAGCAGCCGCGGUAAUACGUAGGGAGCGAGGGUUGUCCGGAAUUACUGGGUGUAAAGGGAGCGUAGGCGGGACUGCAGGUUGGGGGUCAAAUCUACGGGCUCAACCGGUAGCCGCACUCAAAACUGCAGUUCUUGAGUGAAGUAGAGGCAGGCGGAAUUCCUAGUGUAGCGGUGAAAUGCGUAGAUAUUAGGAGGAACACCAGUGGCGAAGGCGGCUUACUGGACUGUAACUGACGUUGAGGCUCGAAAGCGUGGGGAGCAAACAGGAUUAGAUACCCCAGUAGUC